AAGCAAGCCUCCAGUAUGCUUGGUCCGCUGUGAAUCUUUGCAUUCCUGUCGUGCUUAUCAGAACAGUUUUGCAAAGUUUAAGUCCUUUCCCUGUUGCAUUCAGAGCAAGGUUAUAGAAUGUUCAGACAACU
ensembl:snoRNA